rnacentral:rRNA from 1 species
UCCUAGCCGUAAACGAUGGGCACUAAGUAGGGGGCCAUUCCACGGUCUCUCUGCCGUAGCUAACGCAUUAAGUGACCCGCCUGGGGAGUACGGCCGCAAGGCUAAAACUCAAAGGAAUUGACGGGGGCUCGCACAAGCGGUGGAGCAUGUGGCUUAAUUCGAUGCAACGCGAAAAACCUUACCGGGGUUUGACAUGCACUAGACGCGUCUAGAGAUAGGCGUUCCCUUGUGGCUGGUGUGCA